rnacentral:rRNA from 1 species
UACGUAGGGUGCGAGCGUUGUCCGGAAUCACUGGGCGUAAAGGGCGCGUAGGCGGCAUGUUAGGUGAGGUGUGAAAUCCCCCGGCUCAACCGAGGAAUUGCGCUUCAAACCGGCGUGCUCGAGGAAGAUAGAGGUGGGCGGAACUGAUGGUGGAGCGGUGAAAUGCGUUGAUAUCAUCAGGAACACCGGAGGCGAAGGCGGCCCACUGGGUCUUUUCUGACGCUGAGGGACGAAAGCUAGGGGAGCGAACGGG